rfam:Rattus norvegicus chromosome 8, whole genome shotgun sequence.
GGAGAGAUGGCUCAGUGGUUAAGAGCACUGGGUGCUCCUCCAGAGGACCUGAGUUCAAGUCCCAGCAACUACA